rnacentral:rRNA from 1 species
AUGUGCCUCCGCGGAUUCGUGCCACGGUUGCCGGAGGCGUGGGCGCCGCGGGUCACCUCUCCAGAUCGGUGGAGGCCAAGGGCAAGGGCAAGGAGGAGGGGAGAAGAAGACCUUCGGCCAGCUGCGGGAAGCCGGCGCUGGCGUCCUCCGCGGCAUCCACCGGCGCCGGUGGCGGGCAGAAGCGCCAGUGCCACGACCACGCGCACUCCGAGAACGUCGCCGGCGGAAAGUACGGCCGGCUUCGUCUGCUCCAAGCGCAGGAAGUCCCGGGUUCGGCGGAUGACUCGCGUGCCGGCAAUCAGCUCGAAGGCGGCGGAUAUCCCCGCGGACGACUUCUCGUGGCGCAAGUACGGGCAGAAGCUGCCUGUGGAGAAUGCCCUGGACUCAGCAGUUGACGUAACUCGGUUGAGCUGCGGUGCACUAUAUUUAGCUGAUUUUAUUGGGAAGGCUGCAUUACAGGAGAUGGAUACGAAGUCCUCGGAGGAGGAAUACAAAGCUCUACAAGGUGAUGGAGCUGGAGAUGUGUAUUUCCAGUCUCUUGAAGAACGAAUCAUUAAUAUGAAGAUUUUGCAGGGAUGUAUAUAUAUGGUCAUGUUUCACUGGGAUCCUCAACUGUUCCAGUUCGUAUUUAGCAGGAUCACAUGUUGA